ensembl:lncRNA
AUCUCUCCUACAUAGAAGGUCCAUAUGCUGGUUAUUUGAAGAUCCUACUUAACAACAAAUCAAUUUGCACAGAGCAACUGAGUGAAGAGCCAUAUACAAAGACUGAAGAUUGGAAUCAUCCUUAGUAGAGAGAGGAUUUGCCCUGGAUGUCUGCAGAAAUCCUGAUGGUGUCAUCUGUUAUGCUAGGAAAAAAAUAGAGGGAUUUAUCUGCACAGGGAGUUCUGACUGCCUUGGUGAUGCCCCUGGAAUAUGUAGCUUUUGAAGAAUGCAGAGGACUACAAUAUGUCUUGCAGCUCAUGGGAGAAAAAAUAUGCCAUUUCCCAAAGGCAGUUUAAGGCCCAGUCUUCCAGCAGAAUAUUUUCAAUUUCAUAGGUAUUGGCCACCGAGGGCCUGGAAAUACAGUCAGGAAUUACUGCUGUCCAGAUGUUGUUCUGGGUGAUUCUGCCAGAUUUCCAGCCAGAGUCAUUCAAACACAGUCUAGUAAACUCAUAUAGCCUCUAUAUCACUACAUUCACUGACCUUCCAAAUUGUCUCUCCCCAUGUUCAGUUAUCUCCUGGCAUGGAAAAACAUUUCACUAGGAAACUUAUUCAAAUAUGACGACCUACGUGGAUGAGAAUCUCAAAGGCUCUUGACAUUCUGUGAUAGCCUUGUUCUAAAACCCCUGGAGUUUAUUAUUUCUGAGAACAAAGUUAAACUGGGGAUCAUUGAUAAAUUGAGAAAGCAAAUACUGAAUGUUUGUGCUUUCAUAAUAUAACCAAAAAAUACAAGAGGUUUAAG